rnacentral:rRNA from 1 species
AUUGAACGCUGGCGGCGUGCUUUACACAUGCAAGUCGAACGAGUGGCGAACGGGUGAGUAACCCAUCGGAACGUACCGUGUAGUGGGGGAUAACUUUCCGACAGGACAGCUAAUACCGCAUAUUCUUCGAUCUGCCGAUGUGGGAUUCGCUGGUUGGCGGGGUAAAGGCCCACCAAGGCGACGAUCAGUAGCGGGUCUGAGAGGAGGAGCCGCAACACUGGAACUGAGACACGGCCCAGACUCCGACGGGAGGCAGCAGUGGGGAAUUUUGGACAAUGGGCGCAAGCCUGAUCCAGCCAUGCCGCGUGUAUGAAGAAGGCCUUCGGGUUGUAAAGGACUUUUGGCAGGGAAGCGGUACCCGAAGAAGAAGCACCGGCUAACUACGUGCCAGCAGCCGCGGUAAUUC